AGGGUCGCCCCGCGGGUCAGUUGGGCAGUCGGGAGGCUGCGGCCCUCGAGCGCACGCGACAGGUGGUGCGGAUGGGCAGCGGGGAGGGAGCCUGGCGGUGAGCAUCCGGCUCGGCUCCGCCCCUCCCCCGCUUUACUGUGGCUCCAACACUUGUCAGAGGAGAGCAAUGGGCUAAUUUUAUCCGACUGGGACUCAGCAGGAAACCGACGCUGAGGCGCGGGUCUCUGGCUCUGCAGCGUGCCAGACACACAGCAGGUCUCUAGGAAACACUGCAACACUGCUGACACUGAUAUGACCAGAAAAUCCAGCCAUGAAGCCGUGUGUCUGGUGACCGCUAGAGAGAGCUGAAAGGCAAGCAUCUAAAGCCAUUUUGAAGCACAACUUCCUCACCCCUUAGAAGGGAAGAAGGUUUCCCGCUGAUACUCCUUUGGAAAUGAACACGCUACAUAGUGAAUGAAGUGGACAAGUCCUUAGCUUUCCUUGUCACUGAUGAACUGUGGAUCUGUAAGAGCCCCUUCCUAAGCCUCAUGGAGAUUCCCCAUUUCAGAUCGAGAUAAAAAGUGACUUU
rnacentral:lncRNA from 1 species